rnacentral:rRNA from 1 species
CCGCAACGAGCGCAACCCUUGAUGUUAGUUGCCAGCAGGUGAGGCUGGGCACUCUAAGAUGACUGCCGGUGACAAACCGGAGGAAGGUGGGGAUGACGUCAAAUCAUCAUGCCCCUUAUGACCUGGGCUACACACGUACUACAAUGGCCGGUACAACGGGAAGCGAAGGAGCGAUCCGGAGCCAAUCCCAGCAAAGCCGGUCUCAGUUCGGAUUGCAGGCUGCAACUCGCCUGCAUGAAGUCGGAAUUGCUAGUAAUCGCGGAUCAGCAUGCCGCGGUGAAUACGUUCCCGGGUCUUGUACACACCGCCCGUCACACCACGAGAGUUUACAACACCCGAAGCCGGUGGGGUAACCUGAGGCGUUUCGCAAGAAACGCACAUCGGAAGCGAUGCUCAGGGGCCAGCCGUCGAAGGUGGGGUAGAUGAUUGGGGUGAAGUCGUA